UAAAUCAUAUAUAUGAAAGUUGCCCAACUUUUUCCAUAUGAGUGACACAUCAUCACACAAUAAAAUGACAUGUGUCAUUCUACAUUAAUUAAUUAAAAAAU
rnacentral:sRNA from 1 species